UAGUAACAUUGAGUCAUUUUGAAGCUGUACUCUUGUGGAAUAUUAAUAAAAACUCAGUAACAUUUGAGUCUCAUAGGUAAAUGGUAAGAAUUGACACAUGAUGUAUAAUAAGUCAGUGUCCUCGUUAUCUGAUCACGUCUUUGUUUUCUUCUCAACUUUUACAUUUUGUUCUUACAAAGGCUGCUGACACUAAAUCUGAUGAGAAAACAAGCUCACACCUGACACAGAGACAGGAACAGAAGUCAGACAAUGGAGGGGAUGUCUCCAGGUCACCAACCCCCUCCUGCCCUCCCAGUAAGAGUGAUGAGGACGGUAAGCGUCUAGUGGCAGCAGAUGUCUUGGAGGUAUCCACUGGACCUCAGACACCACAAAAUUCAUCAGUCAGUGAAUAUUCGACUGUUUGCUUCCAUGCUGUCCUUUCCAAAGACUUCCAUUUUGAUCCAGAGAAGGACUUCGUUUUUCUUAAAUGUGAAGCAUUGUGUGGAAACUGGGAUCGUGGUUAUACAAUGGUUCCCAGGCUUCUUGGGGACAAGCAAUAUCUUGUUGAACGACAAGUUCUGAUUCCCAAAAACAGAAUUCACGAGAGCCUCCCCUACAAAUACGCUGUUUACAAGCCCAGUGGAAACCGCUAUAAGGUCAUCUAUGAGACUCUUUAC